CAGUCGCCGCGGUAAUACGAGGGGUGCAAGCGUUAUUCGGAUUGAUUGGGUGUAAAGGGUGUGCAGACGGCUUAUUAAGUCACUUGUUAAAUUCUUCGGCCUAACUGAAGGUCUGCAAGUGAUACUGAUGAGCUAGAGGGUGGAAGAGAGAAGUGGAAUUCUCGGAGUAGCGGUAAAAUGCGUAGAUCUCGAGAGGAACACCAAUGGCGAAGGCAGCUUCUUGGUCCAUUCCUGACGCUCAUACACGAAAGCGUGGGGAGCAAACAGGAUUAGAUACCCCCGUAGUCCCUGUCUCUUAUAC
rnacentral:rRNA from 1 species